GACGAACGCUGGCGGCGUGCUAAACACAUGCAAGUCGAACGGAAAGGCCCUGCUUGCAGGGUACUCGAGUGGCGAACGGGUGAGUAACACGUGGGUGAUCUGCCCUGCACUUCGGGAUAAGCUUGGGAAACUGGGUCUAAUACCGGAUAGGAGCCAUCUUUAGUGUGGUGGUUGGAAAGUUUUUUCGGUGUAGGAUGAGCUCGCGGCCUAUCAGCUUGUUGGUGGGGUAAUGGCCUACCAAGGCGGCGACGGGUAGCCGGCCUGAGAGGGUGUACGGCCACAUUGGGACUGAGAUACGGCCCAGACUCCUACGGGAGGCAGCAGUGGGGAAUAUUGCACAAUGGGCGCAAGCCUGAUGCAGCGACGCCGCGUGGGGGAUGAAGGCCUUCGGGUUGUAAACUCCUUUCGCUAGGGACGAAGCUUUUUUGUGACGGUACCUAGAUAAGAAGCACCGGCUAACUACGUG
rnacentral:rRNA from 1 species